UAUAAUACUAAUAUUAAUUAUUUUCUUUACUUGAUCGAUUCUACUUCUUCCUUCACAUGGAUUAGUGAAUCAAAAUUUUCUUAUGUUUUGUAUACAUGUGCAUGAAUUGGUCUAGAUCAAAGCCAUGUCUUCUGCAAAUCAAUCUAGAAAAUUUGAAUCAGAUUAUCAAAAGCGUAAGAAAAAACAAAGGAUGGAAGAAUUAACUCAAUCUCAAAAAGGAGCUAUGGAUAGAUUUAUUAGAAAAUAAUCGCGAGUGUCCUCCAAUAAUCAGACAAUUGAUCAGAGUCAUCCAAUUGAUGAUAAUGCUGAUAGUGAUCCUAUAGAUGGGCAUGGGCAAAUAGAGACUGAAAAUAAUUUUGAGAUAUAGGAAGUUCUUAAUGACAACACAAAUGAGCAAAUGGAUAAUAAUGGUGAUAAUUUGGAUACUAAUCCCGUUGAGGAUGUUGAUGAUUCUUUUCAGUCAGAUAUAUUUGAUCCUAGGUAUUGGGAUUCGCUUGAUGCUAAACAAACUGACAUUUUAGCAGAAAAGGGAGCUAAAAGAGACUUAUCAAUUCAAAAAGGUCCUAGGGAUAGAUAUUCUAGAAGGUUUUGUGCACAAUUCUAUACUAGAGUAUUAUCAAAUGGAGAGCAUUGCGAUAGGGAUUGGCUUGUUUAUUCUAAAGAGCUCGAUAGAGUAUUUUGCUUAAAGAGCUCGAUAGAGUAUUUUGCUUCAGUUGUAAAUUAUUCACAAAAGGGAACCGGAAAGGUUAUCUGGCAAAUGAGGGGUAUAGUGAUUGGGCACAUCUUGGCACUAGAAUUAAAGAGCAUGAGACAAGUGCUGAUCAUGUUUUAAAUAUGAUCGCUUGGUAUGAGCUGCGUAGUAGACUGCAAAAGGAUCAAACUAUUGAUAAAACUGCUCAGCAACAACUUGAGAAAGAAAAGGACCAUUGGAAAAAAGUUCUGUUCAUAAUUGUCUCCAUUCUAAAAUUUCUUGCCAAGCAUAAUCUAGCAUUUCGUGGUAGUAACAGCAAACUAUCGGAUACAUCUUUAAUUAUAAGAUACGUGGAUACAUCUUCCGGUCAUGUUUCGAAGAAUCCUUUCUAGGAUUUUUAGAUGUAAACAAUACGACUGGAGAAGGACUCUUUAAUGUGCUACGGAAUGAGCUAAAGCAACUUGAUCUUAAUAUAGAUGAUGUGAGAGGAUAAGGCUAUGAUAAUAGGGCAAAUAUGAAAUGAUGCAACAAGGGAGUAAAGACAAAAUUUUUGGAUGUAAAUCCUAGAGCUUUCUAUUCUGCUUGUGGUUGUCAUAGCCUUAAUCUUAUACUUUGUGACAUGGCCAAGAAUUGUGGUAGAGCUAAAGAUUUUUUUGGGAUCAUCCAACACAUCUACACAACAUUUGCUAAUUCCACUAAGAAAUGGCAGAUUCUCAAACAUAAUAUAAUAGGAUGGACUCUCAAGUCAGUGUCAACUACACGUUGGGAGAGUCGUGUUGAAAGUGUUAAAACUAUUAGAUUUCAAUGUGCAGAUAUCCGGGAGGCUCUACUUCAGGUAUCUGAUAUUGAAAAUGAUGUAAAAAUAAGCAGUGAGGCUAAAGGUCUAGCAAAUAAUGAACUUGGAGAGUACGAAUUUAUAGUGGCAAUAGUAAUUUGGUAUGAAGUAUUAUAUGCCAUUAAUUUAGUAAGUAAAUAGUUGCAAUCAAAGGAUAUGCUUAUUGAUGUUGCUAUUGAGGAAGUGAAGGGGCUGAUUGCGUUCUUCAAAGGGUACAGGGAAACUGGUUUCUUAGAGGUAUUGGAGACAGCAAAAGGAAUUGCACUUGAGAUAGAUAUUGGUAUAGAGUUUCAAAAGAAACGAGAGAUUAAAAGAAAGAGACAUUUUGAUGAGAAUCCAGAUGAUGCAAAUGCUUCCACACAGUCUGCAGAGGAAUCAUUUAGAAUCAACUAUUUUCUAAAUAUCGUUAAUCAAGCUAUUUCCUCACUUACAACGAGAUUUGAACAGUAUCAAGUCUUGAGGGCGCCCUUACAAGAGAUGGUAAAUCUGAUAUUGAUGCUAAUGAAUUGUUUGUGGAGUUAAUGUUUCUUCAAGAUUUCAUUCCAGAAGAAAAUAUGGGUCCUAUUGAGAUUCUAAAGUUUCUGAAGCGACAUGAUUAUUUUCCCAAUGCUAUUAUUGCAUAUAGAGUUCUCUUAACUAUUCCUAGAACUGUUGCAUCAGCAGAACGUAACUUUUCUAAAUUGAAGCUACUGAAGUCUUACUUGCGUUCUACAAUGACACAAGAAAGACUAAAUGAUUUGGCCAUGAUAGCACUUGAGAGUGACAUAUUGGAGAAGAUUGAAUAUGAGUUUAUUAUUGAAAAUUUCAUUUCAAGGAACACCAAAAGAAUGAUGCUCUUCGAAUAAAGAUUAUGCAACAAGAUUAAACAGGAUCUCGGUUUAUGCUGGUCUCGGGUGGGACGAGGGUCUUUUUACAAGUAUACCGGCUCACAUAUGGCAAACCGACGCCCGUGGUACGUGUCCUGCACUGCAUUUCGGAGGAUUCAUUUUGACAUGUUCUUGCAUCGAGGAUUAUAGUAUUCUUAGACGAUUGUUUGGCCCCCAAGAGAGUUUUGCUGCAACUUGUUUUCAUCUAAUCAGUUUCGAAUAUUUGAUUUCUUUGGAUUGAAAUAUUUUUUCUUUCAACAAAUAUCCUAUGCACGUUUUGCAUUCAGAGGAAGAGAAUAAAUGGUACUAUCUCCUGAUCCAAAUUUGAUGGGGUUUUGGGCAGCUAAUUUCAUUCGCUUUUUCUUGCUAUUUGAAACGUCAACUGCUUCGGACCGGAGGCAAUAAUUGGAAAUUACGGUCAUCCAAGAUUUAAAUAAAUCUGCCAGCCGGAAAGAUUACCCCACAACAUUGAACUCAGAAGAAAUCUCAGCCAAUUUGACGGGGAAAACCUCCAAACUCCAGCUUCACCCUAUAGGGCCGCACCGUAACCUAAACCGAUCACAGUUAAUCUGCCUGAGAAAACUUUCGAACCCCAGCUUCACCCUAUAGGUUGCACUGUAACCUAGGCCGACCACGACCAACUGGGUUGGCGACAACUGCAACUACCUUUGGUAGGAGGGACCAAACCAAUCAUAGGUGCCGAUAUAGGAGGAUCCAAACCAACCAUAGGUGCCACAUAGUUAGUGUCUCCCUCGGACUGGGAAUACAAGAGUGUUGGCUCAACAUGUAUUACAACAAACGAAUUAACGAAAGGACAUGGUGCUCCAUGUAAUGAUUCUUUCACCAUGACUUUGCAAGAGCGCAAUGUACAUAUGCCACUUCAGUUUGGAGUAGUAUGUUUGAUCUUCUUCAGUUUGAAGUAUCUCUAUCUUGUCUAUGUGUGGCACGUUGGUGAUUUGUUGUUGGGUUGAUCUCGGCUAAACGGUCAGUAGACCAAGUUCGAGAAGGGGCGACACCCCAUUCCGUUACUCGCGUCCUGAUCAUCCCGUCGCGCAGCGCAACAAUGGGGGGGCGGGGGCCUCACUGUACGUUAAGCCUCUCUACUAAUCCGAUCUGCAAAGAGCGCUGAAGCGAUAAGAAGACUGCCGCCUCUUCACUUCGAGUUGACACCAUCGCACAGACGACGUCAGCCACCUCUACGUCAACUCUAAGUCCACUUCGACCUUCUGCCUCGCGCAUGCUUCAAGCAGGCCUGUGGACUUCAUCUCUUGAGCACAAUGGCUUCCUCCAGUAAAGGUUCCACUGGCUCGAACAUUACUGGGGCCAUUAAUGGUAUUCCGCAUUCCUCUGUUGAGUGGAAGCAACUUCAGGGAAAAAUUGGAGGUUCUGCUUGCAGUGCUGAAUCUUGAUCAUGCUAUGAGAUUUGAUCCUCCUAAGGAACUAGCAGAUAAUGCUGGUGCUGAUGCCAAGAGGCAGUAUGGUGCUGAAAAAGAAUGGUGGGAUGAUUCCAACCGAAAGUGUCUCUUGGUAAUUAAGGGCUCUAUAAGUGAAGGAAUAAGGGUUGCUGUCCCUGACCGUGAUAAGGAGGAUAAUGCCAUCAUGUACUCGGCUAAGGAAUACCUUGGCAAAGUUGAUGAUCAGUUCAAGGGAUCAUCUAAGACUUAUGCAAAUACUCUGAUUCAGAGGCUUGUAAACAAUAAGUAUGAUGGCACUGUUGGUAUGAGGGAGCAUAUCAUGAGAAUGUGUAACACGGCAGCAAAGCUGAAGGAAAUGAAGAUGGAUAUCUCAGAUGGGUUCCCUGUUUAUUUCAUCAUGACUUCACUCUCAAAGGAAUUCUCUCAGUUCACAAUUAAUUACAAUGCCAUGAAAGAUAAGUGGAGCAUUGAUAAACUGAUGGCAAUGUGUGUGCAAGAGGAGGAAAGGCUCAAGGCACAAAGGAUUGACUAUGUCAAUCAAGCUCAAGAUGAGCUAAGGAAGCAUGAGUAUGACUUAUUUAAGCCUAAGAAACAGCAAUUCAAGAAGAAGGGACAACAGCCUCCACCUGAUAAAAGCAAGUGGUUGAAGGAGUCUGGUGAAACUAGUGAUCAACGCACUAAGCCUAAUGGAGAAAAGGAAGGAUGCCAUUUUGUGGUAGUCUUAAACAUCUUCAGAGAGACUGCAUUAGGUUUCCUGAAGUGUCUCAAUAAGAGAGGUAACACAUAUUUGUAUAUGAGAGUCCUUUAGAUUGUUUACUAGAAACAUUAAAGCCGCGCCCACCGUGGAGCUGACCAGCUUAGCUCAGGACGUAUGCCUUGUGAUGCAAAUGGAUCGUCGGUCCAGUAUUAAGAUGAUUCACAUCUAUUGAUAAUAAAUUUAGGUAAGGAGUAGUGGUAAUUAUUGGUUUAUUGUAUUCAUUUUAACAAUGUCAAUACACAUAUCAUCUUUUGCAUACUGUGGUGCUACUUGUUUUGUGUUUCA